GAGGGAAAAGAGAAAAGAAUGGAUUGAACUUUAAACUGUUUUCAAGGUCAGGCUAGGGAACUGAGCUGCAAAGAGGCUAUUACUAUUGUGGGUGGAACUCAAAGGGUUUGAUUAAGUCCUCUCGCUGUUUAAAUACUCUGUGUUGAGCUGGCAAUCCAGGGUUUCAGCUGCCCCGGAAGCAAAUACGGCCUGGGCAGUCUCUUCCUUCAUUUUUCUUGGUAGCUGAAGGGGGCCCAUAGAUAUUUCAUUUAGCUUGUACUGUGCAGGCCCACGAGUGUUUAAAAAUUAUUAAAUUUGUUGCUGACAUACGAAAAAGCUGGUUGGUUUCUCCAAAAAUAAAAAAUAAAAAAGUCUGGCCAGUGAGGCCCAUAUUCCCCUGCAGCCGCCAAGGGCUGGGAGCAGUGUGAGGCUGCUGCCUCUUCCCUUGGGGCGCAAACCCCUGGCUGAGCCAGAGAUGUCGCUCUGCCUGUUCUGGCCUCACCUCCUUUUCCCUCCUUGGCUUCCUUCUUCCUGCCCCUUUGUCACAAGCAGCUGGUGCCAAGGGACCUCCUGACUCGCCUCUGCUUUCAGACUCACCCCGCUGAUCCUGCUCUGUGUCUCAAAGCCUGCCUUCUCCCAGGUGGCGUCAGCUAACAGCCCACAUUUUUAAGCAGGAGACUAGAGUUUAGCCCCUGGGUUGGGAAGAUCCCCUGGAGGAAGAAAUGGCAGCACACUCCAGUAUUCUUGCCCAGAAAAUUCCACGGACAGAGGAUCCUGGUGGGCUAUAGUUCAUUUGGUGGCAAAAAGAGUUGCGUGUGACUGAGCACACACAAACAUUUUUACCAAAAAUAAACUAAAUAAAAUAAAUGUCAUCCUUA